AUGACAUUAUUAUCUAAAGAAAUAUCUGUGAACAAUAAAGCAAAGAAAGCGGAGACUGCGGCGGCCGCAGGGCGCGGACGGCCGUAUUUGCCUGCGCAGCCCGAGCCGCCGCCAACAAAAAGUUCGCCGCCGCCCGGGGUGAUAUCUUACAAACCGAACUUGGCCGCGCACAGGCCCGCCACCGCCCUCCACGCCGCUGGGAGUGUCCACUCGCCGUCCACCAGCGUGGCGACGUCUUCACAGUACCGCCAGCUGCUCAGUGACCACGGGCCACCGUCCCCAGGCUAUACCCAGGGACCUGGGAAUAGCAGGUGCCCCAAAGCAAACACGCGGGCUGCUGGCCAUCACUGAAGAGCUGGGGAAGGGGAUCAGGCCCACGUCCGCGGGCAGCAAGAGCGCCAUGGAGAGGCUGAAGCCUGCAUCGUUCACGCUGGAGGCCUGGCUCGGGAGGGCUCGGCACAAACGGAACGGAAUGCCAGAUCCUAGCUUCCCUGUUGGUUUUGAAGGAUUCCCGUCUUUUUACAGGAUGAGAAGUUACAGUUCAUCUCCCCUGUUCAGAUGAAACCCUUGUUUUCAAAAUGGUUACAGUUCAGUUUUUCCUCCCAUGGUUCACUUGGGUCUGAACCUACAGUCUCAAAGAUUGAGAAAAGAUUUUGCAGUGAAUUAGGAUUUGCAAUUUAAGUAGUUAGGAACUGCCCAGGUUUUUUUGGUUUGUUUUUUGUUUUUAAGCAUUGAUUUAAAAGAUGCUCCUAAAGUUAUCUUACAGCAAACUAGUUUGCCUCCAAGACACCAUUGUCUCCCUUUAAUCUUCUCUUUUGAAUACAUUUGUUACUCACAGUGUYCUUUGUUCCUUUUCAUAAGCUAAUACCACUCUAGGGAUUUYGUUUUUAAUGCAUAUUGACAGCACACUUUACUUAGUAGCUGGUUCUCAUUUGCCAUACAGUGUAGAUUCUGCUGAAUGUAACUUCUUUUUUGCUUAAGCAUUUGCAUGACUAUUAGUGCUUCAAAGUCAGUUUUUAAAAAUGCACAAGUUCUAAAUACAGAAGAAAAAGCAACCCACCAAACCCAACAAGGACCCCCGAACAUUUUCAUACUAAGACUGUAAGUAGAUCUCAGUUCCUCGUUUAUUGUAAGUUGAUCAAAACAUCUGGAAGAAAAUGACUAAAACUGUUUUCAUUUUUGUAUGUACUUAUUACUUGAUGUAAUAAAGCUUAUUUUCAUUAA